rnacentral:rRNA from 1 species
CGGACAGUGUCUGGUGGGUAGUUUGACUGGGGCGGUCUCCUCCUAAAGAGUAACGGAGGAGCACGAAGGUUGGCUAAUCCUGGUCGGACAUCAGGAGGUUAGUGCAAUGGCAUAAGCCAGCUUGACUGCGAGCGUGACGGCGCGAGCAGGUGCGAAAGCAGGUCAUAGUGAUCCGGUGGUUCUGAAUGGAAGGGCCAUCGCUCAACGGAUAAAAGGUACUCCGGGGAUAACAGGCUGAUACCGCCCAAGAGUUCAUAUCGACGGCGGUGUUUGGCACCUCGAUGUCGGCUCAUCACAUCCUGGGGCUGAAGUAGGUCCCAAGGGUAUGGCUGUUCGCCAUUUAAAGUGGUACGCGAGCUGGGUUUAGAACGUCGUGAGACAGUUCGGUCCCUAUCUGCCGUGGGCGCUGGAGAACUGAGGGGGGCUGCUCCUAGUACGAGAGGACCGGAGUGGACGCAUCACUGGUGUUCGGGUUGUCAUGCCAAUGGCACUGCCCGGUAGCUAAAUGCGGAAGAGAUAAGUGCUGAAAGCAUCUAAGCACGAAACUUGCCCCGAGAUGAGUUCUCCCUGAGACUUAGAGUCUCCUGAAGGAACGUU